GACUGUGGGUAAGGGUUGCAAGGGGAGAGCAAACACAAAGUUAGCCUCCGGUUGUGGGCCCUGUGUCAGGCCUGGAGACAGUGCUCAGAGCAUUCCCUGAACAUGAUGAGUUGAACUCAGCAUAGAGAUCUGGGAGAGAGAUCACGUCUUUGCUUGAAGCCAUCCAGGGGCUCCCACAGGUUCUUGGGGUAGAUGCAUGGCUUGGCCUACAAGGUGAACUGGUUUCUCCCCCCUCCCCACUUCCCCUCUAAUAAAAUAAACAUGAAAGGUAUGACUUUUGUGAGUAAAAUUCUGGCUAUUAUAAGGUAAUAAAGGGUUCCAAGGGCUGCCUCUGUCCCUCUCUGAUUAAGUUCUUGGCCUUCCUGGAGCUCCUGAUUUUCAGAAGGCUGAGAGCAGCCUGACCAGGAUUUCAUGAAGACUUGUAUUCCUGGGGUAGCCUGGGACCCACACUCUCCCUAGGAAUCCCCCCUAACCCACCCCUCACCGUGAACUGACGAAAGUGUGCACCAAGAAGCAUCUCUGCUUUCCAAGCAGUUUUCCCCUCAGAUGAGAAGCUGGCUUGCCCACGAGCGUAGCGUGGAGCUGGACGCUUUCCAGUGGGUGGAAGAGCUACAAAGUCAGCUUAAUGACACUGACAGAUCCUCCGCCCAGAGGAGCUCACCAGGCGGGCCAGCUUCCAGAGCACAGAAGGUUUCCUGUUUUUCUCCAUCCUCAAUUCCCCUCAGGGCACACUGAGGGAAGCAGGACUGCAGUAGCUGAUGGCUUGAUGGCAGGCAACAUUCUUCAUUUACUGGAAUGGCAGGCAACAUUCCCUUUCCAGAGUGUAGAUUCAUCAGAGGUCAUACCUGUCUAAAUUUAGUACCAAGCACUGCAAGAGGACAGCCAGAUAUUACCUGUACUGUUGGUGCUAAAAGGUCCAAGUAACCCAUCACCUCUUUCUCUUUCACUUGGUCAUGGACCCUCAGGCAAAAGACUCCAUCCAGGUUUUGACAUCUUCACUCAGAACUGAUGAAGCUGGAUCAGAGGCCCAUUUUAAGCUCUAAAAUUUUGUGAAUUAAAUCUAGGCCUGUACAUCAUAACCAGAGAUAAAAUUUAACAUUUUUCACAUUAUUGGCCUUAUAUCCCAGGCUCACUACUCCCUAAGUUCUGCUUCCACAUCAUCCAGAUACACCCAGCAACACCUUUUAAAGACUCAUCUCAUGGGCAGUAAAAUAACAAGAAGGAUUCAAAGGCUAAAGACUGUACCUAUUAAACACAAAAAAAGAAUUGACCAUGUCUUCCUACCCAAUGUGGCAGAAAAUGUUCAACUUUCAGCUUUUCAAGUUAAAAUGGCUCCAUCCAGAAUCCCAUUCCGACCUGACUGGUAAUCAUAUAUCCUUUUUCCAAGUUUUAUUUCUAUGAGCAUUUGAAUGAAUAAAAAUGAUUCUAAAUUCCAUUAAGCCUUUUAUCUAAAUUUUACUAUCUGUAUUGUGAAGAUAGCAUGGAAGGACUGAGAUGACUACAUGUUGUUGUCCCAGAUGAAGUAGGGUUUGGCCCUAAAUUUUAAAACAUAAGAGUUGAUUUGCAUUUCUACAACCUAGGCCU